UAUAUCUUUAAAAUAUGUACAAUACUGCUCCAAAAUCUAAGUGUCAUGAUGAUUUUAGCUACCUUCCUCCCCGCUGCUUCUUUUGCCCAUUUACUCUCUGUCCAAUCCUUUGAAAUGAACAUUUUUCUUAAAUUUUGCUUCUGUAGGUGCAUCCUUUCAAGAGUGAGAAAAGCAGUAGCAAAUCUUGUGACACCCGCCUGACAAAGCUCUUUUUGUCUUGUGAAUUGCCUCAACAUAUUUACCAUGCCGGGGCGAACAUAAAUUGAAAACGCGAACAGAAGAAGAAGGAAAAAAAAAGAAAAACCAGAAAACGAAGAGGAGCGAAGAAGCGAAGCGAAGAAGAUUACCAAAGAAGAAGAUGAGAAGAAGAAGAUGAAGUGAAGAAUAGAAAAACAAAAAAAAAAAAAAGAAGGAAACGACGCAUACCUGGGCAGCGACGGAAGCAACUCAGCGGCGGCAGCGGCAGUGGAGGAUGGCGCGACUCUUCUGCAAGAAAUCGUGAACGGGAAGGAUCGCGCG